GACCUUGCACUUCUUUUUCUGGCUACCAGGAAUGCUGUUUCCUCCCCCUUGCUCCUCCUUUUGGUCUACUGACUUCUACCACAGGAUUAUGAUAUGUCACCUCCUCUGUGACGACUUUCUUCAUUCUCCCCCCGCCCCGCCCCACCACAGAGUUUGAGAUAGAAGCUCACAUGCUUUGUACCUUCCAGAGCACGCUGGGCUUACCCCUACCAAAGCCUUCGUCAUAGUCCAUUAUUCUAAUAGGCUUGUUUGCCUUUCCCACUAAAUUGUGAGACCCAUAAGGGCAGGAGCCAUGUCUUACAGCUUGUGCGGCACUUGGCACAUAGUAGGUAUUGAGGACUGCUUGUUGAAUCCAUUAAUUUCAUAAUUAUUUGUGGUAGGCCUGUUGUGAUAAUUUUACGUGUCCACCUGAGUGGGGCAUGGGAUGCCAAGAUGUUUACUCAAACGUGAUUCUGGGUGUGGCUGUAAGGGUAUCUAUGGAUGAGAUUACCGUCUGAAUGACUAAGGCAGAUUGCCCUCCAUCAUGUGGGUGGGCCUUGUUUAAUUAGUUGAAAGCCUGAAUAGAAGAAAAAAACCUGACCCUCUCAUGGGUAAAAGGGAGCUCUUCCUGCCUCACUGCAGAGCUGGGACAUCAGUCUUUUUCUGCCUUUGGACUUGAACUGAAACACUAAUUCUUCUUGGGUCUUAAGCCAUAGGUUUUUGGUCUGGAACUUACACCAUCAGCUCUCCUGGUUCUUGGGCUUUCAGACUUGGACGGGAACUGCAUCAUCGACUCUCCUGGGUCUCCAGCUUGCUGACUGUCUCUUUGGACUUAGCCUCCCUAAUUAUAGAACCUUAACCAACACACCUACUGAAUGCUAUGGCUUGUACCAGAUCCUGUGGAGAUUAAGAUGAAUCAGACCAUCCACCACGUUGUGAGGAAGCCCAGGCUACCCGGUCGUGUUCUGGUGGAGCACAACAGCUGGGCCAUCGGCUUCCAGUCGGCACCAAGCACUAGCCGAGGCCCCAGGCAUUGCAGAGAAGGGAUCAGUUAUUCUCGUUGUGCCCUAAGUUCUUGACCCCCAGAAGCCACGAGCAAUAAUAAAUGAUUAUUGGCUGUUUCAAGUCACUAAGGUUUGGAGUGAGUUGUGUACGCAACGGGAAACCAUUAAUGCAGGAGCCAAAGGCACCGAUGCCGCCAUGAAUGCCAGAGAAAUGGUGCUUCCUCCAAUUCAGUCAGCCUCAUUAGUCUAAUGGGACGGACACUUGGGACUUUUUUUCUGGUGGAAAAAACGGUCUUAACUCAUGAACUCUACGUAUCAGUAUGACGUCUACAUGCUGAUUACUGAAAGUUGCUAUAGGCGUUUUCAGCUAUGGUAUCUCUCAGGCUAGUUGAGCAGUGAGAUUACAAUAGGCAGAGUAGUCACGGAGGCCAGUUGCUAUGAAUGAUUAGCCCCGGCCUCGGACCCUGGGAACUGGGUUCUCGUGUCGUAUCGGAGUCUAUGUGCAUGACCACAGCCACGUUUCCUCGCUUUUGUGAUCCCAAGUUUAUCCAAUUACAAAAAGGGAAUAAGGCCGUCUGCUCUGCCUUCAUUAGAAGGUUUGUGUGAAAAUCAAAAGCAACAAAGCAAGUGAAUGCACUAAA